rnacentral:ncRNA from 12 species
CCUAACCAUUUGAUGGUUGGGCCACACGUCAGUUUAUUUAUCUAAGUUUAAGAUGAUUUAAACUAGAAUGCAAAAAUUUCUUACGAGAAAUUUUGGUGAAGUCUUUGACUGAAUUGGUAUACUGGCUAAAAAUU